rnacentral:tRNA from 1 species
AGGGAUGUAGCUCAGUGGUAGAGCAUUUGCCUACCAUGCUCAAGGCUCUGGGUUCCAGCCUCAGCACCACAA